rnacentral:rRNA from 1 species
AUUGAACGCUGGCGGCAGGCCUAACACAUGCAAGUCGAGCGGAUGAAGGGAGCUUGCUCCUGGAUUCAGCGGCGGACGGGUGAGUAAUGCCUAGGAAUCUGCCUGGUAGUGGGGGAUAACGUCCGGAAACGGGCGCUAAUACCGCAUACGUCCUGAGGGAGAAAGUGGGGGAUCUUCGGACCUCACGCUAUCAGAUGAGCCUAGGUCGGAUUAGCUAGUUGGUGGGGUAAAGGCCUACCAAGGCGACGAUCCGUAACUGGUCUGAGAGGAUGAUCAGUCACCCGGGAACUGAGACACGGUCCAGACUCCGACGGGAGGCCGCAGUGGGGAAUAUUGGACAAUGGGCGAGAGCCUGAUCCAGCCAUGCCGCGUGUGUGAAGAAGGUCUUCUGAUUGUAAAGCACUUUAAGUUGGGAGGAAGGGCAGUAAGUUAAUCCCUUGCUGUUUUGACGUUACCAACAGAAUAAGCACCGGCUAACUUCGUG